rnacentral:rRNA from 1 species
CCUUACCGAAAGCAAUUGGAGGGCAAGUCUGGUGCCAGCAGCCGCGGUAAUUCCAGCUCCAAUAGCGUAUAUUAAAGUUGUUGCAGUUAAAAAGCUCGUAGUUGAAGUUCUGAUUGUUCGGGCCUCGCGCUUUAUAGCCGAGGAACCGACAGUCAUCCGCUUGCAAAUAUAUGUUCGCCUUUAACCGGGUGGCUAUAUGAGUAAGCAAUUUACCUUGAGAAAAACAGAGUGUUCCAGGCAGGUUUGUCCGGAAUGCAUUAGCAUGGAAUAAUAGAAUAUGACUGAAGUCGAUUUAUUGGUUUAAGGCUUUAGUAAUGAUUAAUAGGAACAGUCGGGGGCAUUGGUACUUGACAGUCAGAGGUGAAAUUCUAGGAUUUGUCAAAGACUAACAAAAUGCGAAAGCAUUUGCCAAGGAUGUUUUCAUUAAUCAAGAACGAAAGUUAGGGGAUCAAAGACGAUCAGAUACCGUCCUAGUCUUAACUAUAAACUAUACCGACUCGGAUUCAGAUG